UUCCGUGUGGGUUGGUUGUGCGCCGCUCGCUCCUCAGGUAUUAUUGAGAGUAUUGCUUCAAAAGUUUUCUGAUAAGUUAUUGUAAGUGCUUGAUGUAUUGAGUUAGUGCAGGAGGAGGGCAGUGCAUUGUGCAGGUGUGACCAGUGUGGAGAGUUUUCUCAUAAACAAAAGUUUUUUUUUUAUCCCCUAACGAGGACUUCCACUGGAUAUUUUUGAGACCAGAAGUGCCUAACAUAACAGGUUGUGACCGAGGGAGUGACCGGUGUGUAGCUCGUGUUAGUGAAGGCGCGAGUCACCCUGCCUAGGACCAUGGUGGAUGUAUGACCAGCAGCAGAGGUCACCACACUGCGGGAGAGGUCACUCCGGAGUUCAGGGGGACGAGUGAUGGUGGUUGCCAAUGUUCCUGAACCCGUGGUAUGGUACCCAGCACGGCGGGGGCGGGGCUCCCCUCCUCCACCACCACCACCACCACCACCACAACCAGCUGCAGCACAAGCUGCAGCAGCAGGGGGGCAUUAGUGGUCUUAGCUUGCAGCAGCAGCAGGAUCGAGCCCACCUGCUGCACCAGCUGCUCGACCACCUUCAAGCCCGCCUUCGCCCCGGCUGGACACUUCACUUCACCAGGGAAGGAAGACUCUACUACUGCAAGUAAGUGCUCUUAGUUUUCCUUCUUCUCCACUCUGUCAAAGUGAAGAAAAAAAGAAUUCUGUAUUUAAUA